UGGUGGGUGAUCCGGUGAUCCUGUACUGCCAAGAAAAACAUCGACGUGAGGUUCUAGCUGCCCGUACCCGAAACCGACACAGGUGAUCUGGUAGAGAAUACCAAGGCGAACGAGAGAAUCAUGGUUAAGGAACUCGGCAAAAUGCCCCCGUAACUUCGGAAGAAGGGGGGCCUGCCCCGUGACCCCCACGUGCUGGGGUGAGCGGGUGUGGGCCGCAGAGACCAGAGGGAAGCGACUGUUUACUAAAAACAUAGGUCCGUGCGAAGUCGCAAGACGAUGUAUACGGACUGACUCCUGCCCGGUGCUGGAAGGUUAAGAGGACCUGUUAGAACAUUCGUGUUCGAAGCGGAGAAUUUAAGCCCCAGUAAACGGCGGUGGUAACUAUAACCAUCCUAAGGUAGCGAAAUUCCUUGUCGGGUAAGUUCCGACCUGCACGAAUGGAGCAACGACUUCCCUGCUGUCUCAACCAUGAACUCGGCGAAAUUGCAGUACGAGUAAAGAUGCUCGUUACGCGCAGAAGGACGGAAAGACCCCGUGACCUUUACUAUAGUUUGGUAUUGGUGUUCGGUGCGGUUUGUGUAGGAUAGGUGGGAGACUGCGAAGCAACCACGCCAGUGGUUGUGGAGUCAUUGUUGAAAUACCACUCUGAUCGUAUCGGAUGUCUAACCUCGGCCCGUGAUCCGGGUCAGGGACAGUGCCUGAUGGGUAGUUUAACUGGGGCGGUUGCCUCCUAAAUGGUAACGGAGGCGCCCAAAGGUUCCCUCAGCCUGGUUGGCAAUCAGGUGUCGAGUGUAAGUGCACAAGGGAGCUUGACUGCGAGACUGACAGGUCGAGCAGGGACGAAAGUCGGGACUAGUGAUCCGGCAGUGGCUUGUGGAAGCGCUGUCGCUCAACGGAUAAAAGGUACCUCGGGGAUAACAGGCUGAUCUUGCCCAAGAGUCCAUAUCGACGGCAUGGUUUGGCACCUCGAUGUCGGCUCGUCGCAUCCUGGGGCUGGAGUCGGUCCCAAGGGUUGGGCUGUUCGCCCAUUAAAGCGGCACGCGAGCUGGGUUUAGAACGUCGUGAGACAGUUCGGUCCCUAUCCUCUGCGCGCGUAGGAAAUGUGAGAAGGGCUGUCCCUAGUACGAGAGGACCGGGACGGACGAACCUCUGGUAUGUCAGUUGUACCGCCAGGUGCACCGCUGAUUAGCUACGUUCGGGAAGGAUAACCGCUGAAAGCAUCUAAGCGGGAAGCCUGCUUCAAGAUAACAUUUCCAUCCAACAUUGUUUGGGAGAGGCCCCCAGCUAGACCACUGGGUUGAUAGGCAGGAAGUGUACGCACGGACCAAAGACGUGUUCAGCUGACCUGUACUAAUAGGCCGAUCACUUACACACCA
rnacentral:rRNA from 1 species